rnacentral:rRNA from 1 species
AACGAACGCUGGCGGCAGGCCUAACACAUGCAAGUCGAGCGAGGACUUCGGUCCUAGCGGCGGACGGGUGAGUAACGCGUGGGAACGUGCCCUUUGCUUCGGAAUAGCCCUGGGAAACUGGGAGUAAUACCGGAUGAGCCCUUUGGGGGAAAGAUUUAUCGGCGAAGGAUCGGCCCGCGUUGGAUUAGGUAGUUGGUGGGGUAAUGGCCUACCAAUCCGACGAUCCAUAGCUGGUUUGAGAGGAUGAUCAGCCACACUGGGACUGAGACACGGCCCAGACUCCUACGGGAGGCAGCAGUGGGGAAUCUUAGACAAUGGGGGAAACCCUGAUCGAGCCAUGCCGCGUGAGCGAUGAAGGCCUUAGGGUUGUAAAGCUCUUUCAGCUGGGAAGAUAAUGACGGUACCAGCAGAAGAAGCCCCGGCUAACUCCGUG